GGCCACUGCUAUCGGGGUCCGACUAAGCCAUGCGAGUCAAGGGGCUCCCUUCGGGGAGCACCGGCGCACGGCUCAGUAACACGUGGCUAACCUACCCUCGGGUGGGGGAUAACCUCGGGAAACUGAGGCUAAUCCCCCAUAGGGGAGGAGGUCUGGAAUGAUCCCUCCCCGAAAGGCGUAAGCCGCCCGAGGAUGGGGCUGCGGCGGAUUAGGUAGUUGGUGGGGUAACGGCCCACCAAGCCUACGAUCCGUACGGGCCCUGAGAGGGGGAGCCCGGAGAUGGACACUGAGACACGGGUCCAGGCCCUACGGGGCGCAGCAGGCGCGAAACCUCCGCAAUGCGCGAAAGCGCGACGGGGGGACCCCGAGUGCCCACGCUCUGCGUGGGCUUUUCCGGAGUGUAAACAGCUCCGGGAAUAAGGGCUGGGCAAGUCCGGUGCCAGCAGCCGCGGUAAUACCGGCGGCCCAAGUGGUGGCCACUGUUAUUGGGCCUAAAGCGUCCGUAGCCGGCCCGGUAAGUCUCUGCUUAAAUCCUGCGGCUCAACCGCAGGGCUGGCAGAGAUACUGCCGGGCUUGGGACCGGGAGAGGCCGGGGGUACCCCAGGGGUAGCGGUGAAAUGCGUUGAUCCCUGGGGGACCACCUGUGGCGAAGGCGCCCGGCUGGAACGGGUCCGACGGUGAGGGACGAAGGCCAGGGGAGCAAACCGGAUUAGAUACCCGGGUAGUCCUGGCUGUAAACUCUGCGGACUAGGUGUCGCGUCGGCUUCGGGCCGACGCGGUGCCGAAGGGAAGCCGUUAAGUCCGCCGCCUGGGGAGUACGGUCGCAAGACUGAAACUUAAAGGAAUUGGCGGGGGAGCAAUACAACGGGUGGAGCCUGCGGUUU
rnacentral:rRNA from 1 species